rnacentral:rRNA from 1 species
GACGAACCGUGCGAACGUUAUUCGGAAUCACUGGGCUUAAGGCGCGUGUAGGCGGGCCGGCACGUCGGUCGCUGAAAUCCCCCGGCUCAACCGGGGAAGGGGCGCCGAUACGACCGGCCUGGAGGGGCGUAGGGGGACCUGGAACUUCCGGUGGAGCGGUGAAAUGCGUUGAGAUCGGAAGGAACGCCCGUGGCGAAAGCGAGGUCCUGGACGCCUGCUGACGCUGAGACGCGAAAGCCAGGGGAGCGAACGGGG